GGAGGAAAAGGAGAUGGAAGAGGAGAAAGAGGAAGAGGAAGAUGAGUGACAAAUAACCUACUGAACAGUCCGUAUCUGUGACAAGGCGUGAGGACGGAGGGGAAGGCCACGCCGGAGAUGGAGGCUGCUGAUAUCUUAGCACAGGAGCUACUGAAGUGAGUUCACGCUUUGCAUUUUUAUCAUCCAUAUAUGCCAUUCCCUAUUUAAAAGGAAGAAGAAGGAAGGAAGGAAGAGAGGGAGAAAGAGAAAGAGAGAGAGAGAGAGAGAGAGAGAGAGAGAGAGAGAGAGAGAGAGAGAAGCAGAGAGAGAACCCUGAAGAGAGUCCUGCUUGGGGACGCUGAGGCUAACAGUUCUGUGCCCUCUACCUUCCUUCUUCCUUUCACACCUGAAGAGUUCAGAAGAUGCGCAGGAAUGCAGAACAUUUCAAGCAGCUGUAAGAAUCUCCAUUCUUGGUCAUUCCUAAGCAGUGGCCUGCUGGGGAUGUGUGUUAAGGAGCCUUCAUCAGCAUUUUCAAAAUUGAACCCUCCAACUCCCACUGGCGUUGACUUCUUAGUUUGGUGUCUGUCACUGUGAUAAACACCGGGGCAAAAAUGAACCGGGAAGCAUUGAUUUGUCCUUCCAGUCCCACUCCAUCCUUGAGGGAAGCCAAGGUAGGCACUCAAGGAGGGAGCCUGAAGCAGAGAGCGGAAAGAAAGGCUGCUUGCUGGCCAUGUAGAUCUCAGCCAGCACUCUCAGACAGGCCUGGGCCAACUGCCCAGGGUGGCACCACUCACAGGGUGCAGGGCCCUCCCACAUCAAUCAGCAAUCAAAAAUUGCCCCUACUGACAUGUCCACAUAGCAUCUGAUUGAGGCAAUUCCUCAAUAGAGGUUCCCUUUUCUCAGGCGUAUCAACUGCAAGCCAAGACUGCGUCUCAGGGUUCUGUACGCAAGUCAUCAGAAAAAUAAGCACUGCAAAGUGCAGAGAGAAGAUGGACCCUGGACUGGACGGAGAUGGAGGUGGUUGGAGGUGGGGGACGCUCUUACCGUAACAAAUGCAGAGCCCUGCAGGCUCCACCCAGUUCUUCAGACCUGCACACUCAUUGGCCUAUGCUUGGAGGUACAAACUAUGCCAGCUGAAGAUAAAUGCGAUAAGAGCCUCGAAAGCAGGAACUGAGUUGGCCUUAUUUUACUGCUGAAUAUUCCUAUGACCUAAGGCCCAAUGCAGCACUCGGGAAAUAGACGGUGCUUAGGAAACACUGUGGCUCAAUGACUGAUUAUUUCAUAAAUUGUGUGCUAUGUCAAAAGGUGUCUUAUUGGCAUGGCCUAUGCUGAAGACAGUAAUUGUACAUAAAAACUUUCUUUUUAA